GCCUUCUUGGCUCAGUUGGCUAGAGCGCAGGUCUCAUAGAAAUAUGACACGUUGAUUAUCGUGCAAUCCUGAGGUCGCAAGUUCGAGCCUUGCAGAGGGCA